rnacentral:rRNA from 1 species
AACGAACGCUGGCGGCAGGCCUAACACAUGCAAGUCGAACGCUCCGCAAGGAGAGUGGCAGACGGGUGAGUAACACGUGGGAAUCUUCCUAUCGGUACGGAAUAGCUCAGGGAAACUUGAGGUAAUACCGCAUACGCCCUUCGGGGGAAAGAUUUAUCGCCGAUCGAUGAGCCCGCGUCUGAUUAGCUAGUUGGUGGGGUAAUGGCCUACCAAGGCGACGAUCAGUAGCUGGUCUGAGAGGAUGACCAGCCACACUGGGACUGAGACACGGCCCAGACUCCUACGGGAGGCAGCAGUGGGGAAUAUUGGACAAUGGGCGCAAGCCUGAUCCAGCCAUGCCGCGUGAGUGACGAAGGUCUUCGGAUUGUAAAGCUCUUUUGCCAGGGACGAUAAUGACGGUACCUGGGGAAUAAGCCCCGGCUAACUUCGUGCCAGCCGCCGCCGUAAUAC